rnacentral:lncRNA from 1 species
AAGGAAAUAAUGCCUACUUAUAUCACAAGACUGAAAACCUGAAAUGAGGUAUCAUUUGUGAGGUAUAUUACUUUACAUACCAUCAGGCCCUCAGAGCACUCAUUUCUAAGGCCCAUACUUUCUUUUUUUUUUUUCAUUUUUAUUAGGUAUUUAGCUCGUUUACAUUUCCAAUGUUAUACCAAAAGUCCCCCAUACCCACCCACCCCCACUCCCCUACCCACCCACUCCCCCUUUUUGGCCCUGGCAUUCCCCUGUACUGGGGCAUAUAAAGUUUGCGUGUCCAAUGAGGCCCAUACUUUCUAUCUGAAGAAACAAACCCAGAGAUCAGGUGGUCUGUGAUGUGAUGUGAUGUGAUGUGAUGUGAUGUGAUGUGAUGUGAUGUGAUGUGAUGUGAUGGUAUGGUAUGGUAUGGUAUGAUAUGUGAUGGUCCCAGGACCUGUCAGUGGCAGAGCCAGCACAGGACUGUCAUUUCCCUAUGCUAACUAACAUGUUAACAAACAGUCAAAGCACUUAAUAUUUAAGUUGCAUGUCACAAAGUACUGAGAAGACUCUAAGGUUUUUAAAUGUCAAAGCAUUAAGACACAGGUGAGAGAUAAUGAAUACUUCACCCAGGUGUGAUUAAGAUAUCAUGUAAAAAUUACAUAUGCCAAAGGCUUAGGUAUGGCUAUGUAAUCAAUGUGGCUUAUGAGAAUCAAGUGCUUUUAAUUUUUCUCCAGCUUCUAAGUCUUCCUUGUUUGUGUCUUGCCACACCAGCUUUAGCAUCUUAAUAAGGAGAUAGCAAGCUUUUGGAUUACCCAGGGUGAGAGAGAAAGAGCUUCCAUAAGGAAAAUCUACACUCACUUGUGGAGUUCCAUAACUUAUGGAACUGUUUCUAUGUCCUAUCAUUUCUCACAUCACAACAUAGCAUCAUGAAAAUGUCCUUUUGACCUGGGGAAAUUGUCAUCUUAUGAAAACCCCAGGUGUUUAUAAAGUAACUUAAUGUUGUCAGCUCUCAGCUUUUCUUUAUAGAUCCAUAAUUCAUUGUGGGUUAUCUCUAAUACCUCUUUGUUGUAAAGUUUUUGGUUACAGAAGUUCUUCUGAAUAGUUGUCAACUUUUGUCUUGAGCCAAUACUAAUUAUCUCCAAUCCCUUUAAUAACAGAAGCCCAUUAAGGGGUUUUAUUCAAAGGAGCACCAUCAACCAUCACAAAAUGUGGGACUGUGGUGAGAAGCACCUUUGAGCUGUUGAUGUGACCUCUCCUUGACCCCUGCCACUUCUUCCUCCUUCCUGGGAGAUUAACAGGAUGUCUCACAUGUCCCCCUGUGCAUAGCUUGCCUUACGAGGCUAUUAUAACAACAUUUCACAGACUGGGUGGCUUAGUCAGCAGAAAUUGCUGGUGGUUGUGUAGGCUGGAAAUCUAAGAUCAAGAUCAAGAUGCUGUCAAGUUUGGGUUCUUCUGAAGCUACUCCCCACGCUUUGCGGAUGACUACCUUCUCGCUCCAUCUUCACAGUCUUUCUGGAGUGUGUAACUCCUCUGGGAAUGCUUUUGUGUGUCCUAAUAUGACAAGGACACUAACUACUCUUAUGAACCAGUGUAUUGGUUAGGGCUUUUAUUGCUAUGAAAAGACACCAUGACCACAGCAACUCUUAUAAAGGUUAACAUUUAAUUGGGGCCAGAUUAUGGUUUCAGAAGCUUCAUCCAUUAUUGUCAUGACAGCCUGUAGACAUGAUGCUGGAGAAGGAGCUGAGAGUUGUACAUCUUAAUCUGUAGGCUGUAGGAGACUGUACCAAGCUGGGCAUAGCUUAAGCCUAGGAGAACUCAAAGACUGCUCCUACAAUGACACAUUUCCUCCAACAAGACCACACCCACUCCAACAAAGCCACACUUCCUAAUAGUGCAGCUCCCUAUGGGACAAGCAUUCAAGCACAGGAGUCUAUGGGGGCAAUUCCUAUUCAUACCACCACAACCAGGGUCUACUCUAAUGGACCCAUCUUAGUGUGAUCAUCUUUUUAAAGAUUUUACCUCUAAAAGGUAAUGUUCAGAGGUACUAAGGGUAGGACAUAAUUCUGCCCCUAACCUGAUUUGAAUCAUUAAAUCUCCAGAAUGUGUUGCCUUCGUUACUACUUCUUUGAUUCUGUGGCUUCCACUCUUCUGGCUUCACGUCUAUCUGGUCCUAGGGAUUAUCUCUAGAGGUUCAUUGAUUUAAACUUCAAGCCCUGAUUUCCUGGUUGACUCUGGGUUUGUGGCACCUUUGCAGCAUUGAAGAUACAUUAUCACAUUAUCCUGUAGUCCAAGGUACUGAAUGAAACUACAUCCCUCCUCCACUAAAGUAUGGACUCUUAAGACAAUCAUUAGAUAAAUUCUGCUCUCUUUCACACUUAAUGCCCCUAACUAUUUGGAUCGCUUCUGCUAACUGUCUCUAUUUUGUGUCUUCUCUUUCAAACAUCACAAAUCCUUUCAUGGGUAGAUUAGAAAACAGCUGGGACAUGUUCAGCUCCAAAACUUCCCUAUCACCUUGUAGCCCAUUAUCCUUCAAUCACCUGGAAGCUCUAAGAAAUUCCCACGCUGGGAUUCUUGUUGUUAUGGAUGUUUGCUUCUUUAUUUUUACUCCACAAGAUUUCCCAAACAAUUUUUUAAAAACAAAACUCUAUUGUUCACUGUAAUGCUGGUCAUAUAACCUAAAUUAUCCAACCAGGCUCUAAGGUUGAAAGUUCUACUAGCUACUCUCCUCUAGCUUAAGGAAUUACCUAUUCUAAAACCUAGAAGUGUUAUUUUUUUGAUGACCAGAGUCUUUGCUUCUUCCUCUAUAAGAAUAUAAUCAUAAGACUAACAAUCAUUACUGCCAUAGACAUUAGAUAAAGUUAUAUAAAGUGCAGAGCACAGAAAGCGCUCAGUGACUGUCAGUGUUCCUGAGCAAACCAAACAAGAAGACAGACUUGAACUUAGGUUGUCAAUUCCCAUCUUGCUUCCCCUCCUCUACUACUUGCAUUCAACAAAAUAUUCAUUGAGUAUCUUUUUAUGCUCUUGGUGGCAUGAAAAGUACUUUGCCUUCAUUGAUCUUAUUUAAUUUUUCACAAUGAACCUCAAGGUUGUUGCUAUUAUCAUUACUCUCAAAACUAAAAGAGAGAUAGAAAAAAAAUGAACAUUAUAUGGUUAUUUCUAUUGUUAAGUUUGAGCUGAAAAUUUAUGAGCACUGGACAUGGUGCAUCCCUCCUUUGGAGGGGACCACAGCGUUCACAAAUCGCAGGCAGCAAUCUUAGGAAGGCAGUGGGAAAAAGCCAAACAUGACUAGGUUGGCUUCGUGGGAGUGUAGGAAAGACCUGUUGCUGGAGGCCAUGGCUCUGAGUCUGAGCCCUGCAGCUCUUUGGGGAAUUGCUGAACAGAAAGCUGUGGUUUCCUCAAAGAAAAUGAGGCUGACACCUGUGAUGUGGCAUCUUCUACCAGCCUGGCAUCUGCUCCAAGUCCUUGAUGGAAAAGCUCAGCCAAGUUUCCAACACUGACUAGACAGUCCUAUCCAUUCAGGCAAAGUGAUCCCUGGUGUGUGCUGACUUACUGUAGCAACGGGAAAACAGCAGGCCGUGUGAAGAUCCUGAAAUCAAUUAGAGCAUCAUAUAUUUAUCUUGACAUUGUGUGUAUUUCUAAUGUUUUGGAUAAGUGUAAUUUUAUUUGCAGUCUGAGCCUCUUAGGUAAAAUUGGCCCCUUCUAUAAUCCCUGUGCUGUUUGUCUCUCUUUAGCAUUUUGGAUACUUUCUAAUGUCUACAAUUCAGAACAACAGGCUCUGUUCACAAUGCACCUUGCAAUUGCCGUGUUGUGACACAAUUAGAUCCUCUGGAAGGUGCAGAGAGACAACGGACUUUUGUUUGUCAAAUUAGAUGCCACACCCUAUAGGUUAGAUGGGAAGUGUCUCUGAGAAAUAUUUUGUAUGCUGCUUACUCCUAGAGUCUUCCUUUGUUCAAAAUGAAGAUGAAUCAACAGAGAAAUGAAAUAAUUGUUACAAUGACCCAAGGAAUAGGAAAAGGAAAUCAUUUAUGUCAAGAACUUUGCAUCCACACUCUCAAAAUAAGGAUUCUGUCUUUUCUUUCUCAAGUACAAGGAAUAGCC